rnacentral:rRNA from 1 species
GUCUAUGGCCAUGCCACCCUGAACAAGCCUGAUUCCGUCUGAUCUUGGAAGCUAAACAGGGUUAGGCCUGGUUAGUACUUGGAUGGGAGACCACUUAGGAAGACCAGGUGCUGUGGGUG